ensembl:lncRNA
GUCCGAGUCAAGAACAAGGCCAGACAGGGGGCGAGACUGAGUAAAGAACAAGACUAGCCAGGGGUCGAGACCGAGUCAAGAACAAGACCAGACAGGGGGCGAGACCGAGUCAAGAACAAGACCAGACAGGGGGCGAGACCGAGUCAAGAACAAGGCCAGACAGGAGGUGAGACCGAGUCAAGAACAAGGCCAGACAGGAGGUGAGACCGAGUCAAGAACAAGAACAGACAAGGGGUGAGACCGAGUCAAGAACAAGACCAGACAGGGGGUGAGACCGAGGCAAAUAGAGACACUCUAUACAUUAUUAGUAACCCAAACACAGUGGAG